rnacentral:rRNA from 1 species
GCGGUUAAAAAGCUCGUAGUUGGAUCUCGGCAAGUAGAGGGCGGUAUGCUUCGUAGCAUUACUGCCCUAUUACUUGUAGUUUUGCCAGAGGUUCCUGGGUGCUCUUAAUCGAGUGUCUAGGGAUGCUGGCAGGUUUACUUUGAAAAAAUUAGAGUGCUCAAAGCAGGCUAUUACGCUUGAAUAUUCGUGCAUGGAAUAAUAGAAUAGGAAGUUGUUUCUAUUUUGUUGGUUUUCGGAAAUCGACUUAAUGAUUAAUGGGGACAGUCGGGGGCAUUUGUAUUCAAACGACAGAGGUGAAAUUCUUGGACCGUUUGAAGACAAACUACUGCGAAAGCAUUUGCCAAGAAUGUUUUCAUUAAUCAAGAACGAAAGUUAGAGGUUCGAAGGCGAUUAGAUACCGCCCUAGUUCUAACCAUAAACGAUGCCAGCUAGCGAUCUGAGGACGUUUUUUUUGUAGACUCCUCAGGAAGCUUCCGGGAAACCAAAGCGUGUGGGUUCCGGGGGAAGUAUGGUUGCAAAGCUGAAACUUAAAGGAAUUGACGGAAGGGCACCACCAGGAGUGGAGCCUGCGGCUUAAUUUGACUCAACACGGGAAAUCUCACCAGGCCCGGACACUGGAAGGAUUGACAGAUUGAGAGCUCUUUCUCGAUCCGGUGGGUGGUGGUGCAUGGCCGUUCU